rnacentral:rRNA from 1 species
AAUCCUUGAAAAAGAAGAUCAAGAAACUUCGAAGAAGCUUUCUUGAUGGAGGGGAGCGGCAGACGGGUGAGUAACGCGUGGGAAUCUACCGUACCCUACGGAAUAGCUCUGGGAAACUGGAGGUAAUACAGUAGACGCCCUAACGGGGAAAGAUUUAUCGGGGUAUGAUGAGCCCGCGUUGGAUUAGCUAGUGGGUGGGGUAAAGGCCUACCAAGGCGACGAUCCAUAGCUGGUCUGAGAGGAUGAUCAGCCACAUUGGGACUGAGACACGGCCCAAACUCCUACGGGAGGCAGCAGUGGGGAAUAUUGGACAAUGGGCGCAAGCCUGAUCCAGCCAUGCCGCGUGAGUGAUGAAGGUCUUAGGAUUGUAAAGCUCUUUCACCGAUGAAGAUAAUGACGGUAGUCGGAGAAGAAGCCCCGGCUAACUUCGUGCCAGCAGCCGCCGUAA